rnacentral:rRNA from 1 species
UUAUCCGGAUUUAUUGGGUUUAAAGGGUGCGUAGGCGGUUUGAUAAGUUAGAGGUGAAAUUUCGGGGCUCAACCCUGAACGUGCCUCUAAUACUGUUGAGCUAGAGAGUAGUUGCGGUAGGCGGAAUGUAUGGUGUAGCGGUGAAAUGCUUAGAGAUCAUACAGAACACCGAUUGCGAAGGCAGCUUACCAAACUAUAUCUGACGUUGAGGCACGAAAGCGUGGGGAACAAACAGGAUUAGAUACCCUGGUAGUCCACGCAGUAAACGAUGAUAACUCGUUGUCGGCGAUACACAGUCGGUGACUAAGCGAAAGCGAUAAGUUAUCCACCUGGGGAGUACGUUCGCAAGAAUGAAACUCAAAGGAAUUGACGGGGGCCCGCACAAGCGGAGGAACAUGUGGUUUAA